rnacentral:rRNA from 1 species
GUCUACAGCCAUGCUACCCUGAACAAGCCCGAUCCCAUCUGAUCUCAGAAGCUAAGCAGGGUCGGUCUUGGUUAGUACUUGGAUGGGAGAUCAUCUAGGAAGACCAGAUGUUGUAGGCA